GGGCUGAGCGAGCUUGCUUGCUUCCGCUCCCCCCACCCUCUCUCCUUGAUCCCUGCUUCUUGUCCCUUUUUAUUCCCGUUCCCACCUGUUUGUGUCUUCUUCCUUCCUUCUGUUCCCCUGACUGAGUGGAAGAUUCUCUUGUCUGUCUCCCUUUUCCAAACUUUUCAUUGGUUUCUCUACUUUCCCUUUAAACCCUUUUUAUUACUCCACCUCUAACUCCUCUUUUUUUGGCUCCUCAGACACACCUGACCGUACUCUGUGUUUUCCUGCAUUUUCCUUAAUGUUUCUGCUGUAGUCCAAGAUAUGGAAAUCGCCACACAUUCCCCAACCCUACAGAAAAUCCAACUUGUGCCAGAAUAUACUGAAGUUUGCUGUUCCAAGCUGGUCUCUCAUCUUCUACAUCAGAUCCCUCUUCUACAUCUACAUCUUUAUCCUCCUGAUCAUCAACGGACAGCUCACUCUUCUUGAAAGCGUCUUCAACAGAGUCUUCAUUGGAUAGGAGAUCUUUAACUGACUCGAUGACAUCAUCAUCUAUUUCUCUUUUUACGACCUUGCUGUUCUUAGGCAUUUGCAGUAAAGGAAAGGGAAUACCAGGUUAUGUUCACUUCAAGUGAACGACUCAGUCUCUGUCAGUAUCUUGCUAUUGCAAGAUCAAAAGUAUUUGAAAUUGGAUUGAAUCACUUGACUGAAGAGAAUGUCAUUUGUGAAGAGCAAUCGAGAGAAUGGAGAUGCUUGCUGUAACAUAAAAUACCUGUAAAAAAUAGUAGUUGACAUAAAAUUCAGAAGGUUACUUCAGUGGUAAUGUAUAGUUUAUCUAUUCCGUUCUUUAACAUAAAAAAAUCAUAGCUUUUCAUUUCAAUGCCUUUCUUUACAUGAAUGAACAUUAAAAGGUCCAUUGCUAAUCUUCUA